rnacentral:lncRNA from 1 species
AAGAAGAGAGACAAGUGCGGUCCCAUGAGACCCGGAAUGCUUAUGGUCUACCCUGCAGUCAAUUGACAGCAAUUCUUGUUUGGAAAUCAAUGCAUCUGCACUCUGAGUUGCACUGGAUCCUGGCGGACCAGAGCUCUGCACUAUUUCAUUUUGACUAGGUGCACUUACUUGCCAUUUACAGGACAGAAGGGAGUGGGGGCUGCGCUUUGCCGUGUCUGCCAUUUCCAUUGUGAAGCACAGUGGAGAGGUCCUGGUUUUCUGCAGCAGUUUUAGCAAGAGGUCCUGAUUUCUGGGCAGUGGCUCUGCGAGGCCUGGACCUGCUACCCCAGAUGAAGCCCAGCCUCAGGGGUGAGGCUGCCCAACAAGUUCCUGACUCAGAGGAAGCCACAGCUUGAGUUGUCAUCGAUGUUGCUGUUGGCCCAGGGGUGAGUUGGUACCACCUAACACCCCUCAAGAGGAGACCCAGCCUCCUGCAUG